AGUGCGUGUCGCUAGGUCGUCGCUGGUCGCUUAUCGCUCAUACGCCCCAUGCUUUGGAUAUAACUUCACCGUUAAACCGAGAAAUUUCGGAAUGCGAAAAAAGUUUCGGAAAGCAAAAGUUCAAAGCAAAUAAAAAAAAGUUCAAGACGGGGCUUUAAGGCCAGCUCAUCGCAUUUGUCGAGCGGAAAUAAGUGUUAAUUGAAAAAUAAUCAGCAGCAAAAGAUGGCCACAACCUGCAUGCCGCAUUUCACGGAAUAUUUUCAAACCACCACCCAGUCAGAGUUACCAACAAAUGAAAGUGCCAACAGCAGCAGUGGCUGUAGAGAACCGUCCAAAACCAGUGGCUUCUUCUACAGCGCCAGCACACAUUACCAGAGCAAAGUGCAGCAGCUGAUCAGCUUCAGCUUCACCUCAUCGUUCCACCUGCUCUUCAUCACCUGCAUACUGAGCAUCAGCAAAUUCUGCAAUGCGGCAGCGGUAAAUGCCGCCCAUGUGACCGCUGCCACGCCCACUGCCAGCGAGAUAAUGCACAAUCUGAGCGGAGCGGCGCUGCUGGAGCGUCUGAAAGCCAGUACCCUGGGACCCACCCUCGAUCAGCUGAAGCAUCUGGCUCCUGCGGCAGCCAACAGCAUUAGUCCUGGUACAGGAUCUGGCAUGGGAAUCGGGAUGGGCAACUUUGGCAGCUCCAUUAACUCGGUGCUAAACGGAAAUCCUCUAAAGUUCCUGAAUGUGUCGGGCAAAAUCGGCACUCCUUUGGACAUAUCGCUCGGUCUGAGCAACUACUGCGAGGAGAAGCAGUUCCAGUGCUCCACUGGCCAAUGUAUCCCCAUACGGUUCGUGUGCGAUGGCUCCUCGGAUUGCCCGGACCACAGCGAUGAGCGGCUGGAGGAGUGCAAGUUUACAGAAUCAACUUGCAGCCAGGAACAAUUCCGCUGUGGCAACGGAAAGUGCAUUCCGCGAAGAUGGGUCUGCGAUCGGGAGAACGACUGCGCCGAUGGAACCGACGAAUCGACGUCCCAGUGCCGAAGCCACACGUGUUCGCCCGAGGAGUUUGCCUGCAAGUCGGGCGAGGGCGAGUGCAUUCCCUUGUCCUGGAUGUGCGAUCAGAACAAAGAUUGUCGCGAUGGAAGCGAUGAGGCGCAGUGCAAUAGGACAUGUCGCUCCGACGAGUUUACAUGCGGCAAUGGACGUUGCAUCCAGAAUCGCUUCAAGUGCGACGAUGACGACGAUUGUGGUGACGGAUCGGAUGAGAAGAACUGUGGGGAGAAGCCGAAAUGCGGAUCCAACUCCUUCGAGUGCAAAAAUGGACAGUGCAUUUCCAAUCUAUGGGUUUGCGAUGGAGAUUCUGACUGCAGAAAUGGGGAAGAUGAGAUGCAAAACUGCACCGUCAGUCUAUUGAACUUCUGUCAAGCGGGAGAGUUCCAGUGCUCGGAUAGAAUCACCUGCCUGCACAAAUCGUGGGUUUGCGAUGGCGAGGCAGAUUGUCCCGAUGGCGAGGACGAGUCGCAGUCCAACUGCGUAAAAGUGUCCUGUCGUCCGGAUCAGUUCCAAUGCAACGAUCACAGCUGCAUUGCCGGCCAUCUGACCUGCAACGGGAAGAGGGACUGUGCGGAUGGCAGUGAUGAAAUUAUGUGCGCCAUCAGUGCGACGCCAAGGACUUGCAAUGCCACCACUGAGUUCGACUGCGGCGGCGGUCUGUGCAUCCCGAAUGCCAAGGUCUGCAACCGCAGGAAGGACUGCCCGAAUGGCGAGGAUGAGCCGGCCGGAAAGUGUGGCAUCAACGAGUGCUCCUCGAAGAAUGGCGGCUGUAUGCACCAGUGUGUGAAUCUGGAGGUGGGUUACCGCUGCGAGUGCCAAGAUGGCUACAAACUGGCCGCCGAUCAACAUACCUGUGUGGACAUCGAUGAGUGCGAGACUCCUGGCAUUUGCUCCCAGGUGUGCGUCAACGAGAUUGGAGCCUUCAAGUGCGAGUGCGAGGCGGGCUACAUGAGACUCCUGAAGAAUCACACCAGGUGUAAGGCCAGCGAAGGACAUGCCUCGCUACUUCUGGCCAGGCGGCAUGAUAUCCGAAAGAUUGCACUGGAUCGACCGGAAAUGACGUCCAUAGUGAAUAGCACAAAGGCAGCCACAGCAUUGGACUUCGUGUUCCGCACGGGUAUGAUCUUCUGGAGCGAUGUGGCCACCCAGAGUAUCUACAAGGCGCCCAUUGAUGAGGGUAACGAUAGAACGGUGGUGCUGACAAAGUCCUCGGUGACCUCGGAUGGCCUGGCUGUCGAUUGGAUCUAUAACCAUGUCUACUUUACGGACACUCAUAAGUGCACCAUCGAACUCACCAACUUCGAGGGCAGCAUGGGCAAGGUCCUGAUAAAGGACUCCCUUGACAUUCCGCGUUCUAUUGCUUUGGAUCCCAUCGAGGGCUGGAUGUACUGGUCCGACUGGGGUGCCUCUCCGCGUAUCGAAAGGGCGGGUAUGGAUGGCUCCCACCGCACUGCCAUCAUCACCUACGACGUUAAGUGGCCAAAUGGCAUCACAUUGGACCUGGUUCAAAAACGCCUAUACUGGGUGGAUGGCAAGUUGAACACCAUCUCGUCGUCGAACUACGAUGGCUCGCAAAGACAGCAAGUUCUCUACUCCAGUGAGUACCUGCGACAUCCCUUCUCGAUCACCACAUUCGAGGACUACGUCUACUGGACCGACUGGGACAAACAGGCCGUCUUCAAGGCCAACAAGUUCAAUGGAAUGGAUGUGGAGCCCGUCACGGCGACGCAUAUGUUGGAACACCCCAUGGUGGUGCACGUGUACCAUCCGUAUCGCCAACCGGAUGGCGUGAAUCACUGCCAGUCGGUGAAUGGCCACUGCUCCCAUCUCUGCCUGCCAGCUCCCAGGAUUAACGAGCGGAGUCCUCGCAUAUCCUGCGCCUGUCCGACGGGCCUGAAACUGAUGCCCGACGGGCUAAUGUGCGUCGAAGAUCUGCGUAUCCCAACUGUGCGUCCCACUGCACCGAUGCACCGGACAAUCGAACAGUCGUCCAACUCAACCACAAAACUACCUCAAGAUGGGUACAGUGAAACGCCGGUUGGAACAAAAACUGAAAGCAACCGCACAGACACAACUAACCAGGUCCACAAAUCUGAUGCCAAAUCAGAAAAUAAUUACGUCGGCAUAGCCUUGAAUGUGAUAGCCAGUUUAGCGGGCACAGCUUUGGUAGCAAGCGUCAUCUUUGUCGUAUACCGACGCUGCACGCGCGCCGUGAACUCGAUGAACUUCGAGAACCCCGUCUACCACAAGACCACGGAGGACCACUUCAGUCUGGAGAAGAAUGUGACGCCUCACAUGUUCGCCACUGCCCCGGAUGAGGAGGCCAACAACCCCCUCUUCCAACCUGGCACCGAAUGUGUUUAGGCCAAAGACCAUGUCAACUGCAUAUCCUGCUAAUUUUGGCCGGCUGACCGCGAGCAUCCCCACAAAGCAUCUCCUAAUAGUAAUUCCUUGUUGGACCAAGGCCCUCAAACUAAACUAUUGAGUGCAAGUUUUAUGCGCAACGUUUUGACAUCAACUAACGUCGCACCCACGCACACGCACACAGACAUCAACGCAUAUCCUUUCACCCACACGUACACUCUCUCACACACACACACAAUACACGAACACACAUAUACACACAGAAGCCCAGAAGAACUCAGAGAAGGAACGAGCCAGGAUUCAGAGCCAGAAGUCCAACUUUCCUUUCACGUCCAUGAAAUCAAUUGUAAAAAGUUAAGACAUUUCGUUGAAGUUUUGGUACCAAAAGAAACAUUUUGUGAAAUCGAAAAAAAUAGGGAUAAUAGCUAAACUAAAACUGUUUAUAGACCUAACAAUUAUUGUGAUUAGGUAUAGUAUAUUUUUUGUUAUCAAGGAAUUAAUAAAAGCAGUUAUUAUCUUGAAAGUAAA
rnacentral:misc_RNA from 1 species